AUUGAACGCUGGCGGCAGGCCUAACACAUGCAAGUCGAGCGAGCGGCGGACGGGUGAGUAAUGUAUGGGGACUGCCCGAUAGAGGGGGAUAACUACUGGAAACGGUAGCUAAUACCGCAUACUAUCGGAUAACCCAUAUGGGAUUAGCUAGUAGGUGAGGUAAUGGCUCACCUAGGCGACGAUCCCUAGCUGGUCUGAGAGGAUGAUCAGCCGCACUGGGACUGGGACACUGCCCAGACUCCUCCGGAGUCUGCAGUGGUGUAUAUUGCACAAUGGGCGCAAGCCUAAUGCAGCCAUGCCGCGUGUAUGAAGAAGGCCCUAGGGUUUUAAAGUACUUUCAGUCGUGAGGCGUUACCGACAGAAGAAGCACCGGCUAACUCCGUGCCAGCCGCCGCGGUAAUAC
rnacentral:rRNA from 1 species